CCUACGGGAGGCAGCAGUGGGGAAUAUUGCGCAAUGGGCGAAAGCCUGACGCAGCGACGCCGCGUGAGGGAUGAAGGUCUUCGGAUCGUAAACCUCUGUCAGCAGGGAAGAACGGUCACUGUGCUAAUCAGCAGUGAAUUGACGGUACCUGCAAAGGAAGCACCGGCUAACUCCGUGCCAGCAGCCGCGGUAAUACGGGGGGUGCGAGCGUUAAUCGGAAUUACUGGGCGUAAAGCGCUCGUAGGCGGGAUGUCAAGUCAAGGGGGAAAUCCCCGCGCUCAACGUGGGAACUGCCUUUGAAACUGGCAAACUGGAGUGUGUGAGAGGAUAGUGGAAUUCCAGGUGUAGGAGUGAAAUCCGUAGAUAUCUGGAGGAACAUCAGUGGCGAAGGCGACUAUCUGGCACAUAACUGACGCUGAGGAGCGAAAGCGUGGGUAGCAAACAGGAUUAGAUACCCGUGUAGUC
rnacentral:rRNA from 1 species